GGCAUUGGGCCAUACUGACGCUUAGGCUUGAAAGUGUGGGGAGCAAAUAGGAUUAGAUACCCUAGUAGUCCACACUGUAAACGAUGGAUGUUAAGUGUCGGAGCGAAUACUUCGGUGCUGCAGUUAACACAUUAAACAUCCUGCCUGAGUAGUACAUUCGCAAGAAUGAAACUCAAACGGAAUUGACGGGGACCCGCACAAGUGGUGGAGCAUGUUGCUUAAUUCGACGGUACACGAAAAACCUUACCUAGACUUGACAUCUUGGGCGAAGCUAUAGAAAUAUAGUGGAGGUCAACCCAAUGACAGGUGGUGCAUGGUUGUCGUCAGCUCGUGUCGUGAGAUGUUGGGUUAAGUCCCGCAACGAGCGCAACCCUUAUCGUUAGUUACUUUGUCUAACGAGACUGCCAACGUAAGUUGGAGGAAGGUGGGGAUGACGUCAAAUCAUCAUGCCCCUUAUGUCUAGGGCUGCAAACGUGCUACAAUGGCCAAUACAAACAGUUGCCAAUCCGUAAGAG
rnacentral:rRNA from 1 species